rnacentral:pre_miRNA from 1 species
AGUGGGAUAGCUGGGUAAAAUGGUGAUUCCAUUCUCAGUUUUUCAAGGAAUCUCCAUACUGCUUCCCAGAUUGGUUGCAUCAAUUUGUUGUCCCACCAGCAAU